rnacentral:rRNA from 1 species
UACGAAGGGUGCUAGCGUUGUUCGGAAUCACUGGGCGUAAAGCGCGCGUAGGCGGCUUAUCAAGUCAGAGGUGAAAUCCCCAGGCUCAACCUGGGAAUUGCCUUUGAAACUGCUAGGCUAGAGUGUCGGAGGGGAUGGCGGAAUUGCUAAUGUAGAGGUGAAAUUCGUAGAUAUUAGCAGGAACACCGGUGGCGAAGGCGGCCACCUGGACGACAACUGACGCUGAGGCGCGAAAGCGUGGGGAUCAAACAGG